rnacentral:rRNA from 1 species
GCCAGAGGGUGCAAACGUUGCUCGGAAUUACUGGGCGUAAAGCGCGUGUAGGCGGACUGAUAAGUCAGGUGUGAAAUCCCCGGGCUCAACCCGGGAACUGCACUUGAAACUGCCAGUCUUGAGUGAUGGAGAGGAUGGCGGAAUUCCUGGUGUAGAGGUGAAAUUCGUAGAUAUCAGGAGGAACACCGGUGGCGAAGGCGGCCAUCUGGAAAUCUACUGACGCUGAGACGCGAAAGCGUGGGGAGCAAACAGG